GCCGAGGUGGCGAAAUUGGUAGACGCGCAUGACUAAGGAUCAUGUGGAGAAAUCCUUGCAGGUUCGAUUCCUGUCCUCGGCA
rnacentral:tRNA from 1 species